GGCUGUGGUUGAGUUGUGUAAGAAUUGGCUAAAGAUAUUGCUUUAUUGUGUAGGUCCAAGCAUUUUUAACAUUAAAUGUAAACUUUUAUAGCAUUCUGUGGACAAAUUGUUGCAGUUAAUCCUCUUGCUUAUAUCUACAAAUUUAUGUGAUGAGUAUGGUGAGUUGCUUCAAUAUAUCAUCAAUCAUAUUGAAACAAUGGUGUUAUCGG
rnacentral:misc_RNA from 1 species